AGGUUGGCUUAGAAGCAGCCAUCCUUUAAAGAGUGCGUAAUAGCUCACUAGUCGAGUGGCACUGCGCCGAAGAUGUACCGGGGCUAAAGCAUAAUACCGAAACUGCGGAUUACUUUGUAAUGGUAGGGGAGCGUUCUAAGUGCGCUGAAGGUUGAUCGUAAGGACAGCUGGAGUGCUUAGAAGUGAGAAUGCCGGUAUGAGUAGCGCAAGACGUGUGAGAAUCACGUCCACCGUUUGCCCAAGGUUUCCUGGGUCAAGUUCGUCUUCCCAGGGUUAGUCGGGUCCUAAGGCGAGGCCGAAAGGCGUAGUCGAUGGACAACAGGUUGAUAUUCCUGUACCACCUAUAUGACUGAUGGAGUGACGAAGGAGGCUAGCAAGUGCCUGUUAUUGGAUUCAGGUCUAAGCACAAAGGCUUAUAUGUAGGGAAAUCCGCAUAUUGGUAGGCUGAAGUGUGAUGGCGAAGAAAGUAGCAAUACAAUCGAAGACUUGUGACGCCAAACUUCCAAGAAAAGCUUCUAGGGUUAAUCGUAUAGGUGCCCGUACCGAGAACCGCCACAGGUGGGCAAGGAGAGUAUCCUAAGGUGAGCGAGAGAACUAUGGUUAAGGAACUCGGCAAAAUGACCCCGUAACUUCGGGAGAAGGGGUGGUCUAGCGAUAGACCCGCAGUAAAGAGUCCCAGGCAACUGUUUACCAAAAACACAGCUCUCUGCUAAAUCGAAAGAUGAUGUAUAGGGGGUGACACUUGCCCAGUGCUGGAAGGUUAAGAGGAGAGGUUAGUAAUGACUUCGGUUAUAUUUACGAAGCUUCGAAUUGAAGCCCCAGUGAACGGCGGCCGUAACUAUAACGGUCCUAAGGUAGCGAAAUUCCUUGUCAGGUAAGUUCUGACCCGCACGAAAGGCGUAAUGAUCUGGGUACUGUCUCAACCAUAGACUCGGUGAAAUCUUAAUACCUGUGAAAAUGCAGGUUACCCGCGACAGGACGGAAAGACCCCAUGGAGCUUUACUGUAGCUUGAUAUUGGAUCUCGAUGUGUUAUGUAGAGGAUAGGUGGGAGACUAUGAUGUUAGGACGCUAGUUCUAACGGAGUCAACCUUGGAAUACCACCCUUAGCAUGUUGAGAUUCUAACCUCGACCCAUUAUCUGGGUCAGGGACAGUGUCUGGUGGGCAGUUUGACUGGGGCGGUCGCCUCCCAAAAAGUAACGGAGGCGCUCAAAGGUUCCCUCAGAAUGGUUGGAAAUCAUUCGAAGAGCGUAAUGGUAUAAGGGAGCUUUACUGCGAGACCUACAAGUCAAGCAGUUACGAAAGUAGGACAUAGUGGGCCGGCGAUUCAGAAUGGAAUGGUCGUCGCUUAACGGAUAAAAGUUACCCUGGGGAUAACAGGCUGAUACCACCCAAUAGUUCACAUAGACGGUGGUGUUUGGCACCUCGAUGUCGGCUCGUCACAUCCUGGAGGUGGAGUCGCUUCCAAGGGUUGGGCUGUUCGCCCAUUAAAGUGGCACGCGAGCUGGGUUCAGAACGU
rnacentral:rRNA from 1 species